CCGCCCGAGGACCGCUCGCACCGGACCGAGGGAGGGAGCCCCGGCAGGCAGGAUGCCUCUGGUGAAAUGGCCAAGUCGACCGCGCGACCCACAACCCGCCCGACUAGGGGCGAGAAGGCGCACGGAGGAGGACUCCGUCCCCUAGUCGGCAGACGGCCCUGGGACAGGGCCGUUCGCCAAAACCUCCCCAAGGCCGCUUUCCGUGACCGAGUCGGCCUCCCCACCUGUACUCGUCCCGGCCCGAGAAACGAGACGCGGGGUGGAUCGGGACCAGGCCACGCACCAGGCCGGCUGGCACUGCAUCCUCCCUCCCCCGACCUGACCUGACCUGACCUGGACGAACGCCUCCCCAUCGCCCACCCCCGCGAGGCUGAUCCGUCCGGCCGGUGAGGAGGCCGCUUGUCGGGCGCCACCUGCUGCCCGGCAUCCUCUUAUAUAGUGUUCGAGGAGGUCGACCAGGUCUUAGGGCUGUCGUGCUCCGCAGCCGUCCCGUGUCGUGGAUCCUGGGCACCACCACGCCACCGCCCCCCCCGCCAUAGCUGUCGAUCGCUAUGUGGCACGCCUACGUUUGCCCAAAAGAGCAGUCCGAUGGACAGCGUGGUGCUUUUCCCAGCAGGCAGGCAGGAGACAAAACUCCCCUGCCAAAGGGGCCCUCCCGAAACAACGGGGAGUGAGGAAGACCUCUUUCUCUUCACGGCUGAAGUUCUCCCUGCCUUUCCUGGAUGGGAAGGAUAGCACCUACGCCCGCUGCCGUCGGCGACUUUUAGUCCCCCUGGAGAGGAAGAAAUUCUUUCCCGUGGCCGAACCCUGGCGGUUCGUUCGUGCUGCAGAGGACGUGGCCCUCUCUGACACACCCAGGAACCUCCUCGCUCCGGGUCGAGGAGAGGGAGUUCUGUUCUGUGGUUUAGAAUGGUGCUUAAAAAGGGACAUCGCUUACAAAGGGUCCUCGUCCCCCUUCCUAAGCGGACGGCUCGGCUCGGAGGCGUGAGAUACGUUUCACAUCCUCCUCGUCGUCUUCACUCAAAGUUUUAUUGGAGUUUUGAAGAUUU